rnacentral:misc_RNA from 1 species
AAAAGUCGUAACAAGGUUUCCGUAGGUGAACCUGCGGAAGGAUCAUCAACAAAAGGGAAACAGGCGUGGCGGGUGCAAGCUCGUUUCACGUUCUGGUCCCGAAAAUCCUGUAUUCACCCCAAGUUCCUUAAAAAUUUCAAUACAAAACUUUUGCAAAAAAGACCACGUUUCAUUAAAGUGGCAUCUAAUUGCACAAAGCGAAAACUUUCAACAACGGAUCUCUUGGCUCUC